rnacentral:lncRNA from 1 species
AUGAUGGAGCACUGGAAAACUGAACUGUUUGUUGGAAAUGAAAGUUAUGGACUUGUCAACAUCAGAAGAGGAAUUUUCCAGGGAGACUCAUUGUCCCCUCUGCUUUUCAUUAUUGCCAUGAUCCCUCUGUCAACAAUCUUACAAAAAACAAAUCUCGGCUAUCAAACAUCUAAGAAAUCUCACAAAAUUUCGCAUCUGAUGUACAUGGAUGACCUGAAGUUGUAUGGGAAAACGGAAACUGAAAUCCAGUCUCUGACUAACACUGUCCGAAUUUUUAGCUCUGAUAUCAGCAUGGAGUUUGGUUUGGACAAAUGUUCGACAGUGGCUUUGAAGAAGGAAAAAAUCAUUGAAAGUGAGGGCAUAAAUAUGCCUAAUGGCCAAACAAUAAAGUGUCACCAGCCAGAGGCCUAUAAAUAUCUGGGCAUAUUACAGCUGGACAACAUCAAGCAUGAACAUGUGAAGACUGUGGUCAGUAAAGAAUACACACAAAGGGUCAGAAAAAUUCUCAAAAGGAAGCUCAAUGGAGGCAACACCAUCAAGGCCAUAAACACCUGGGCCAUACCUGUCAUAAGAUAUACUGCUGGCAUUAUAAUUUGGACACAGGCAGAACUGGACAAUUUGGACAGAAAAACAAGAAAACUCAUGGCCAUUCAUCAUUCACUGCACCCUCGCAGUGAUGUUGACCGGCUAUAUCUGCCUAGAAGAUCAGGGGGCAGAGGACUCUUACAAGUCAAACAAGCAGUCAAAGAAGAAGAACAUGCCCUGGCAGAAUAUGUAAAACAAAGUGAAGAACCUGCUUUGAUUGAAGUCAAAAAUCAGAAACUCCUCAAAGCACAGCAGACAAAAAACCAGUACAAGAAAACCGCACUACAAACUAGAGCUGACAGCUGGCACAACAAAACAUUUCAUGGAAAGUUCCUUGACAAAAUUGAAGGAAAAGCUGACAAGGAGAAGACCUGGCUCUGGCUCACGAAUGGGACCCUGAAGAAGGAGACAGAAGGCCUGAUCCUUGCAGCCCAGGAGCAAGACAUCAGGACAAAGGCAAUUAAGGCCAAGAUCGAAAAAUCAGCUGAUGACCCAAAAUGCAGACUGUGCAAGGAAGCUGACGAAACCAUUGAUCAUAUCCUCAGCUGCUGUAAGAAAAUCACGCAGACUGACUACAAACAGAGGCACAACUAUGUGGCCCAAAUGAUUCAUUGGAACUUAUGCCUCACGUACCACCUCCCAGCAGCAAAGAACUGGUGGGAUCACAAACCUGCAAAAGUAUUGGAAAAUGAGCACGCAAAGAUACUGUGGGACUUCCGAAUCCAGACUGACAAAGUUCUGGAACACAACACACCAGACAUCACAGUUCUGGAAAAGAAAAAGGUUUGGAACAUUGAUGUUGUCAUCCCAGGUGACAGUCGCAUUGAUGAAAAACAACAGGAAAAACUCAGCCGCUAUCAGGACCUCAAGAUUGAACUUCAAAGACUCUGGCAGAAACCAGUGCAGGUGGUCCCGGUGGUGAUCGGCACAUUGGGUGCCGUGCCAAAAGAUCUCAGCCGGCAUUUGGAAACAAUAGACAUUGACAAAAUUAUGAUCUGCCAACUGCAAAAGGCCACCCUGCUGGGAUCUGCACGCAUCAUCCAAAAAUACAUCACACAGUCCCAGACACUUGGGAAGUGUUCGACUUGUGAUUUUGCGAUACGAAAUCCAGCAUAUCUAUCUUGUUUGCUGUGUCAUACAAUAUAA